rnacentral:lncRNA from 1 species
AGCCUUCCCAGCAGAGUUCGACUUGAACCCAGAGCUGGCUGAACAGAUCAAGGAGCUGAAGGCUCUGUUAGACCAAGAAGGAAACCGCAGGCACAGCAGCCUCAUCGACAUCGAGAGUGUCCCCACCUACAAGUGGAAGCGGCAGGUGACCCAGCGGAACCCUGUGGAACAGAAAAAGCGCAAGAUGUCCCUGUUGUUUGAUCACUUGGAGCCUAUGGAACUGGCAGAACAUCUCACCUACUUGGAGUAUCGGUCCUUCUGCAAGAUCCUGUUCCAGGACUAUCUCGGGUCAACCCCACCUGUCCCCAGUUCCAGGACUAUCACAGCUUUGUGACUCAUGGCUGCACUGUAGACAAUCCGGUCCUGGAGCGAUUCAUCUCCCUCUUCAACAGUGUCUCUCAGUGGGUCCAACUCAUGAUCCUCAGCAAGCCCACAGCCACGCAGCGGGCGCUGGUCAUCACACAUUUCGUGCAUGUGGCAGAGAAGCUGCUGCAGCUGCAGAACUUCAAC